AUGAGAAUCACCCUGAUUCUUCAGAGGCCGUUUAGGUCCUCUGUCAUUCAUCGGUAUUCUCAGUCCAUUUUCGGAGGAACAUUGGUGUUACAGCAGUGGCAUUUAAUAGGGAACUUGAUCCUUUACAGAUGCUUUUCGUGGACAAGAUUAGAGAAUACAGAUCUAAGCAACAGGCAUUUGGAGGACCUGUGGAUGCUGGCCCAGAGUAUCAGCAAGACCUGGAUAGGGAGCUUUUUAAGCUUAAGCAAAUGUAUAGUAAAGCAGACAUGAAUACAUUCCAUAACUUCAAAUUUGAAAAUUCCAAAGUUGAAGCCAUCGAGAAACCCUAGGCCUGAAGAAAUAAAGUAAAAUUAAUUUGGCAAUUUGUCAUGGAUUACUUAUACAACUAAUCAGAAGUUUCAGAAUAGACGUACAUUUUACAACUCUUAAGUGUUCUUUUAAUUCUGAUUCCAAAUAAAUUAUUGGGUGAUAUUGAA